UAGGGAAUCUUCCGCAAUGGACGAAAGUCUGACGGAGCAACGCCGCGUGAGCGAAGAAGGUCUUCGGAUCGUAAAGCUCUGUUGUUAGGGAAGAACAAGUACCGGAGUAACUGUCGGUACCUUGACGGUACCUAACCAGAAAGCCACGGCUAACUACGUGCCAGCAGCCGCGGUAAUACGUAGGUGGCAAGCGUUGUCCGGAAUCAUUGGGCGUAAAGCGCGCGCAGGCGGUCCUUUAAGUCUGAUGUGAAAUCUUGCGGCUCAACCGCAAGCGGUCAUUGGAAACUGGGGGUACUUGAGUGCAGGAGAGGAAAGCGGAAUUCCAUGUGUAGCGGUGAAAUGCGUAGAGAUAUGGAGGAACACCAGUGGCGAAGGCGGCUUUCUGGCCUGUAACUGACGCUGAGGCGCGAAAGCGUGGGGGAGCAAACAGGAUUAGAUACCC
rnacentral:rRNA from 1 species